GACGAACGCUGGCGGCGUGCUUAACACAUGCAAGUCGAGCGGUAAGGCCCUUUCGGGGGUACACGAGCGGCGAACGGGUGAGUAACACGUGGGUGACCUGCCCUCAGCUCUGGGAUAAGCCUGGGAAACCGGGUCUAAUACUGGAUAUGACUCCAUGACGCAUGUUGUGGGGUGGAAAGCCUUGUGCGGCUGAGGAUGGGCCCGCGGCCUAUCAGCUUGUUGGUGGGGUGAGGCCUACCAAGGCGACGACGGGUAGCCGGCCUGAGGGGCGACCGGCCACACUGGGACUGAGACACGGCCCAGACUCCUACGGGAGGCAGCAGUGGGGAAUCUUGCGCAAUGGGCGAAAGCCUGACGCAGCGACG
rnacentral:rRNA from 1 species